rnacentral:rRNA from 1 species
UACGGGGGGGGCAAGCGUUGUUCGGAAUUACUGGGCGUAAAGGGCUCGUAGGUGGCCAACUAAGUCAGACGUGAAAUCCCUCAGCUUAACUGGGAACUGCGUCUGAUACUGGAUGGCUUGAGUUUGGGAGAGGGAUGCGGAAUUCCAGGUGUAGCGGUGAAAUGCGUAGAUAUCGGGAGGAACACCAGUGGCGAAGGCGACUUCCUGGCCUGUUCUUGACGCUGAGGCGCGAAAGCUAGGGGAGCAAACGGG